rnacentral:rRNA from 1 species
GGAAGGGCUUGAGAUCAGACUUGGUAUUUUGCAUGCUGCUCUCUCGGGGCGGCCGCUGCGGUUUACCGGGCCAGCAUCGGUUUGGAGCGGCAGGAUAAUGGCGGAGGAAUGUGGCACGGCUUCUGCUGUGUGUUAUAGCCUCUGACGAUACUGCCAGCCUAGACCGAGGACUGCGGUUUUUUUACCUAGGAUGUUGGCAUAAUGAUCUUAAGUCGCCCGUCUUGAAACACGGACCAAGGAGUCUAACGUCUAUGCGAGUGUUUGGGUGUAAAACCCGUACGCGUAAUGAAAGUGAACGAAGGUGGGGGCCCAUUAGGGUGCACCAUCGACCGAUCCUGAUGUGUUC